GAAUUCCCACCGAGCAAGAACUAGCCAUUCACUCGUAGCGAGUCUUGGAGGAUGUGGAGUAAUUCAUGUCUUUAAGCGUAGACAGUUAGAUAAUGGGCCGUAAGCCAAUUGGUUGAAGGGAUUGAGCUCCGAAAUACCAAGUCAAGAGGGCUGAUGUAAUUGUCUGUACAGAAAGCAAUACUUCUACUAACGUAAUGGCAAGAUAGUAGAAGCCUCUUCGGAGUCGAUGACCU
rfam:Anaerobacillus sp. NB2006 Ga0137927_1083, whole genome shotgun sequence.